rnacentral:rRNA from 1 species
GACGAACGCUGGCGGCGUGCCUAAUACAUGCAAGUAGAACGCUGAAGGAGGAGCUUGCUCUUCUGGAUGAGUUGCGAACGGGUGAGUAACGCGUAGGUAACCUGCCUGGUAGCGGGGGAUAACUAUUGGAAACGAUAGCUAAUACCGCAUAAUAGUAGAUGUUGCAUGAUAUUUACUUAAAAGGUGCAAUUGCACCACUACCAGAUGGACCUGCGUUGUAUUAGCUAGUUGGUGGGGUAACGGCUCACCAAGGCGACGAUACAUAGCCGACCUGAGAGGGUGAUCGGCCACACUGGGACUGAGACACGGCCCAGACUCCUACGGGAGGCAGCAGUAGGGAAUCUUCGGCAAUGGACGAAAGUCUGACCGAGCAACGCCGCGUGAGUGAAGAAGGUUUUCGGAUCGUAAAGUUCUGUUGUAAGAGAAGAACGAGUGUGAGAGUGGAAAGUUCACACUGUGACGGUAUCUUACCAGAAAGGGACGGCUAACUACGUG